rnacentral:rRNA from 1 species
UACAGAGGUGGCAAGCGUUGUUCGGAAUUACUGGGCGUAAAGGGCGCGUAGGCGGCCUACUAAGUCAGACGUGAAAUCCCCCGGCUUAACCUGGGAACUGCGUCUGAUACUGGAAGGCUUGAGGAUGGGAGAGGGAUGUAGAAUUCCAGGUGUAGCGGUGAAAUGCGUAGAUAUGUGGAGGAAUACCGAUGGCGAAGGCAGCCCCCUGGGAUAACACUGACGCUCAUGCACGAAAAGCGUGGGGAGCAAAACAGGA